rnacentral:lncRNA from 1 species
GAGUUAUGAUCGAAGUUCCAGGAGCUUAGAUCAAGAUUCUCCUUCAAAAAAGAAGAAAUUCCAAACUAAUUAUGCUUCUACCACCCAUUUAAUGAGUGGCAAGAAAGUGCUGUCAUCUAUAUAGACAAAAGCUAGUGACUUAGAAACAACAGUAUUUUAUAUGCCUGGAGUUGAUGUAAAUGUAAAUACCUAAUUGUCUAGGAUAAAAGAUUAGUGUAUCAAUAAUGGUGGUUUUUAUUUCUUAUCAUAUAUGUUCUUCUUUUGCUCCUUAUACUAUGAAACUUUCUAGGUUUUUUUGGUCUAGGUAGCCAUAUUCUGAACAUAAGAAUAUAUAUAGGUUGUCACUUCAUUUAUACAGCUUUUCCCAUGAAAUUUGGCAAAAAGAAGUUAAAUGUUUUAUAUAUGUGUAUAGAUGUGUGUUCAGAGCAUACUUGUUAAAGCUGGCUUAGUGCAACUUCAUUAAACAACCAUUUUUUAAAUUCUAGAAUUAUAAAAUCUUAGGCUAUUAAUAGUUGGAAAGAACUUUAAGGAUUAUCAGGAAUGACCUUUUUAACUUCAAAAAUGAAAAAAAGAAUCUUGUCAGGAUCGCAAACCUAACUUGUAAAAGUUAGAACUGAGUCUUUGGACUCCUGAACCAGUUUUCUUUCUGAUACGUUUUCUGUAUUUCUUGGGUUUUCCUCAUCUGUAUAAUUUUAAUUUUGAAAGUUUUUUUUUAAUACAGUUGCAUUACAAUUCUAAGAUGCUAAAGACUGAAUCACCUAAUGCUUCUAGAGGAUCUUCCUUGCCAAGAACUCUCUCCAAAGAGUCCAAACUGUAUGGUAUGAAAGAUAGUGCAACAUCUCCUCCUUCUCCUUUACCUUGCACUGUCCAGAGCAAGACUAACACCUUACUUCCUCCCCAGCCCCCACCUAUACCCUCAGCCAAAGGAAAAGGAAGUGGAGGAGUAAAAACAGCCAAGUUAUAUGCCUGGGUAGCACUUCAGUCAUUGCCAGAAGAAAUGGUUAUUAGCCCCUGCCUUUUAGACUUUCUGGAAAAGGCUCUAGAAACUAUCCCAGUUACACCAAUUGAAAGGAAUUAUACAGCUGUUAGCUCACAAGAUGAAGAUAUGGGACAUUUUGACAUACCAGAUCCUAUGGAAGAAUCAACAACAUCAUUAGUAUCUUCUUCAACAUCUGCUUACUCUUCCUUCCCUGUAGAUGUUGUGGUUUAUGUACGAGUUCAGCCCUCACAGAUCAAAUUUAGCUGUUUACCAGUGUCAAGAGUAGAAUGUAUGCUAAAGCUUCCAUCCUUGGGCUUGAUGUUUUCUUCAAACCGAGGAGAACUGGAGACUUUAGGGACAACAUAUCCUGCAGAGACUUUAUCUCCUGAAAGUAAUGCAUCUCAGAGUGGAACAAAGACCUCUGGUAGCCAAACUGGAAUACCAGGCUCAUCAGGAUUAGGCAGCCCUCUUGGCAGAAGCCGGCACAGCAGCAGUCAAUCAGAUCUCACCAGCUCCAGCAGCAGUUCAUCUGGCCUGAGCUUCACUGUGUGCAUGUCUGACUUCUCCCUUUAUAUAUUUCAUCCAUAUGGAGCAGGGAAACAAAAAAACUGCUGUUUCUGGCCUCACACCUGGAUUAGGAGAAUUAGGGAAUGUGGAUGA